GAUGAACGCUGGCGGCGUGCUUAACACAUGCAAGUCGAACGAAGCACUUUAUUUGAUUUCCUUCGGGACUGAUUAUUUUGUGACUGAGUGGCGGACGGGUGAGUAACGCGUGGGUAACCUGCCUUGUACAGGGGGAUAACAGUUGGAAACGGCUGCUUAUACCGCAUAAGCGCACGGCAUCGCAUGAUGCAGUGUGAAAAACUCCGGUGGUAUAAGAUGGACCCGCGUUGGAUUAGCUAGUUGGUGAGGUAACGGCCCACCAAGGCGACGAUCCAUAGCCGACCUGAGAGGGUGACCGGACACAUUGGGACUGAGACACGGCCCAAACUCCUACGGGAGGCAGCAGUGGGGAAUAUUGCACAAUGGGCGAAAGCCUGAUGCAGCGACGCCGCGUGAGCGAAGAAGUAUUUCGGUAUGUAAAGCUCUAUCAGCAGGGAAGAUAAUGACGGUACCUGACUAAGAAGCACCGGCUAAAUACGUG
rnacentral:rRNA from 1 species